rnacentral:rRNA from 1 species
GACGUAGGGCGCGAGCGUUGUCCGGAUUUAUUGGGCGUAAAGAGCUCGUAGGCGGCUUGUCGCGUCGACUGUGAAAACCCGCGGCUCAACUGCGGGCUUGCAGUCGAUACGGGCAGGCUAGAGUUCGGUAGGGGAGACUGGAAUUCCUGGUGUAGCGGUGAAAUGCGUAGAUAUCAGGAGGAACACCGGCGGUGUAGACGGCUUACUGGACCAUAACUGACGCUGAGGCACGAAAGUGUGGGGAGCAAACAGG